CCUACGGGGGGCAGCAGUGAGGAAUAUUGGUCAAUGGACGAGAGUCUGAACCAGCCAAUUCGCGUGAAGGAUGACUGCCCUAUGGGUUGUAAACUUCUUUUAUAUGGGAAUAAAACGAUCCACGUGUGGGAUUUUGUAUGUACCAUAUGAAUAAGGAUCGGCUAACUCCGUGCCAGCAGCCGCGGUAAUACGGAGGAUCCGAGCGUUAUCCGGAUUUAUUGGGUUUAAAGGGAGCGUAGGUGGAUUGUUAAGUCAGUUGGGAAAGUUUGCGGCUCAACCGUAAAAUUGCAGUUGAUACUGGCAGUCUGGAGUACAGUAGAGGUGGGCGGAAUUCGUGGUGUAGCGGUGAAAUGCUUAGAUAUCACGAAGAACUCCGAUUGCGAAGGCAGUUCACUGGACUGCAACUGACACUGAGGCUCGAAAGUGUGGGUAUCAAACAGGAUUAGAUACCCUGGUAGUC
rnacentral:rRNA from 1 species